rnacentral:rRNA from 1 species
AUUGAACGCUGGCGGCAUGCCUUACACAUGCAAGUCGAACGGCAGCGGACCUUCGGGUGCCGGCGAGUGGCGAACGGGUGAGUAAUAUAUCGGAACGUACCUUUCAGUGGGGGAUAACGUAGCGAAAGUUACGCUAAUACCGCAUAUUCUGUGAGCAGGAAAGCAGGGGAUCGCAAGACCUUGCGCUGAUUGAGCGGCCGAUAUCAGAUUAGCUAGUUGGUGAGGUAAAGGCUCACCAAGGCGACGAUCUGUAGCGGGUCUGAGAGGAUGAUCCGCCACACUGGAACUGAGACACGGUCCAGACUCCUACGGGAGGCAGCAGUGGGGGAAUUUUGGACGAAUGGGCGCAAGCCUGAUCCAGCCAUGCCGCGUGAGUGAAGAAGG